AUAAUCUAUGCCGCCGUUUUAUAAUCUAUGGAAAGGAUAACCUAAAAUUAAAAAACGUCCGAUAUUCCUCGUAAUUAGUGAGUAAUUUAGAAACACAUUGAUAUACAAACAUUAAAUGUCGUUUCUUUGUUUUCAGAGAAACUCAGUUCUGUUUGAUUGCCCGUGUCCAAAUCACAUUUGAAGUAAUCUUAUAAAACGACAUUUAUUGUCAGAAAAUGGAAAAAUUGAAGUUUACGUUUCAAAUAAAACCAGCAGUAGACGGAAAGUCAAACUAUAUCGCCAUAACCUCAAUUGCCACACAAGAUGACAAAGUUUUUCUUAUGCCUGAAGAGUAUCAAACAGUAUCACUUCACAAACAUAUCCAAACCUCGAAAACCUUCGUUACAGUGAAAAAUACAUUGAAAAAAAGAUAUCAAACUAGAAGUGUUUGGAUUAAAACGACAGAGGACAUAUUACAAACAUAUGUGGAUGAGGAUGGCAAUAUGAUUUUUCAGGACCAAUUCCUAGAGGAAACUACCCAAGAACAAUUGGCUUUUGCUAAUAAAAAAUGUUCAGAAGACUCUAUAAUGAAGGUUUUGGAAAAAAUAAUUGAAAGUCAACAAAACAAAGAAAACCAAAGUAUAAAAAAGUUAGCAGAAAGGUUUGUAAUUGAAAAAUUUGAUGGAAAAAAUUCAAGUGCAUAUCAGUGGAUGGAAGUAUUUGAGAAAGAAUGUGCAAGGUUCGAUAUUGUAAAAGAGGAACAGAAAAUUGAAAUAUUUAGACUAUUUCUAGAAAAGUCAUGCACUGAUUGGUAUUCUUCCAUGAUGAUGAAGCUUACUUUACAUUCCGAGUGGUCAGAAUGGAAAUCAGAUUUAUUGCAAACAUAUGCCAAUAAAGGUUGGGCUACUAGCAAGUAUGCUUUAUCUUUCAAGUAUCAAGCAGGAUCUUUAUUAGAAUAUGCAGUCAAAAAAGAAAGACUUUUACUGGAAGUGAGAAAAACAAUGGAUGAAGGUACCCUAAUUGAUAUAAUCGCUGCCGGCUUACCAGAUUUUAUAACAGACAGAAUUAACAAGGAAGAAAUUGUACACACCAAAAAUUUAUUUAAUGAACUCGGCAGACUAGAACAUUUGGUUGCAAAGAAAAAAUUUAUAAAAAAAAAAGAGGACACUAAAA